rnacentral:pre_miRNA from 1 species
CCUUCUUCUGGUUUGCCUUUUUCUGCUUCUGCUGCAUGAUCUCCGAGUCCCUGGGGGUAGAGAUGAUGGGGCGCUGGGAGGCACCAGAGGGCAAAAGGGAC